rnacentral:lncRNA from 1 species
GAUUUGCAUAAAUGGCGAAAAAUGGCUCGACAGACACUCCUAGAAGCACAAAAUUGAGAAGCAAUUUGAAGUAUCGAGGUGAACUAAAUUUCAUCCUAAGAUGGUCCAAAAUUAUAUGUAUUAAUUCAUAAUAUAAUUAAUUUUAAUUUAUAUCCAAUUUAAUUUUGGUUAAUAAAUUAUUAUUAAUUAAUUAUGAAAAAGUGGUCCAGUUGAACUGAACCGAGCGAACCGAACCGACCAAGAAAUUGACAGCCCAAAAACCGUCCCAAGAGCUGACCCAAAUCAACUUAUUAGCUGAUUAUUUAAGCUUGCAAAUAUGCCCUUGAAGACUUGUUCAAGUUGCAUUCAAACCCCUUCACAAUUGGUGGCUUUAUAGAUUUACCCUAAGCCUAAAUUAGCAAAGUUGAAACUAUCAACCUUGCCACAUGUGUGGCCGGCCAUGGGAGGGUUCUUUGGCUGAUUAUUUUAGCUAUUUUUAGCAGCCCUCAUCAACUAUAAAAACCCCCUUAGGCUGGUCAUUUUAAAAACACACCUCAAGCAUUCAUAUCUUUCCUCUCUUCUCUCCACUUUCUCUCUUCUUUUCCAUUCCAAAAUUCCCUUGCUCUCUUGCCGAUUUCUCCUCUUGGGAAAGGGUCAUUCAUCAGCUAUUUGGGGCAGCAAUUAAGUGUUCAUAUCAGCCUUGGUCGACGAGGACAAUGGAGAAGGAAGAACGGAGCAACUAGUCAAGCCACGGAAAAACACCGGAUUUGAUUCUUGUUCCCUAUCUCUUUAAUUUUUGUUGUUGUUAUGCUAAACAUAUCUAUGAAUAUUUAUGUUUUUGGAAUGGUUAAUUUAAUCAAUUUAGCUUGAAUUUAAUUCGUGUUAGGUUGAUUGCA